UACGUAGGGGGCAAGCGUUGUCCGGAAUCAUUGGGCGUAAAGAGCGCGUAGGCGGCCCGAUAAGUCCGCUGUGAAAGUCAAGGGCUUAACCCUUGAAUGCCGGUGGAAACUGUCGGGCUAGAGUCCGGAAGAGGCGAGUGGAAUUCCUGGUGUAGCAGUGAAAUGCGUAGAUAUCGGGAGGAAUACCGAUGGCGAAGGCAGGUCUCUGGGCUGACACUGACGCUCAUGCACGAAAGCGUGGGGAGCAAACAGG
rnacentral:rRNA from 1 species